ensembl:lncRNA glutamic acid-rich protein-like
AUGCUCCACCCAAAAGUAUACAAAUUUAAGGCACAUCAGUCAGACCGUUCUACUCAUUCCAAGACUAGAUCAGUUCAUCACUGCCAAUUUAUACCUGACUUCAACUGCAAAAUCAAGAAAAUGAGGAUUCAGAAUAUGUUCAUGGUCCUUGCUUUUGUGGCUGUUGUGGCUGCAGCACCACUCGAUAACAACAAAGAGUCACAGCCUGGCGUUCCUCCUGUUGAAGUGUCAAAGCCUGGCGUCGUCCUUGUUGUUCAGUCAAUCUCUGACAACCCUUCAAUUGUAAAGUCAAUACCUGAGGUCGUAACUGUUGUAGAGUCAAAAUCUCACAUCUCCAAUGUUGUAGCGUCACAGCCUGACAUCCAUCUUGUUAAAAUGCCUGAAGUCUCCUUUGUUGUAGAGUCAGCGUCUAACAUCCUUCCUGCUCUAGAGUCAAAGUCUGCCGUCUCCUCUGUGGAGUCAAAGCGUGAAGGCUCUCUUGUCGUAGAGUCAAAAUCUGCCGUGUCCAAUGUCGUUGCAUCGCAGUCUGACACCCAUGCUGUUGAAGUGUCAAAGUCUGAUGUCUCCAAAGUUUUAGAGUCAAAAUCCGACAUGUCCAAUGUUGUGGAGUCAAAGCCUAAAGUCUCUCUUGUUGUAGAGUCGAAGUCUAUCAUUCCUGUUGUAGAGUCAAAAUCUGCCGUGUCCAAUGUCGUUGCAUCGCAGUCUGACACCCAUGCUGUUGAAGUGUCAAAGUCUGAUGUCUCCAAAGUUUUAGAGUCAAAAUCCGACAUGUCCAAUGUUGUGGAGUCAAAGCCUAAAGUCUCUCUUGUUGUAGAGUCGAAGUCUAUCAUUCCUGUUGUAGAGUCAAAAUCUGCCGUGUCCAAUGUCGUUGCAUCGCAGUCUGACACCCAUACUGUUGAAGUGUCAAAGUCUGAUGUCUCCAAAGUUGUAGAGUCAAAAUCUGACAUGUCCAAUGUUGUGGAGUCAAAGCCUAAAGUCUCUCUUGUUGUAGACUCGAAGUCUAUCAUUCCUGUUGUAGAGUCAAAAUCUGAUGUCUCCACUGUAGAGUCUCAGUCUCACAUCCUUCCUCUAGACUCAAAGGUUAAUAUUCCUCUUACUAAUGGUGCUGACAUCAAAGUGGUCAUUGAGAACAUUGAGACCUAUGACGAUGAUGAUGAGGAUUUUGAUGAAAAUGAUGCUGAACAUGAAGAGGGUGAUGAGGAUGAUACUGAAGAGGAAGAGGUUGAUGAGGAUAACACUGAGGAUGAGGAGGUGGAAGGGGAGAAUGAAGAAGAGGAUGAAGAGGAAGAAGAUGAGGGAGAGCAAGAUUACUAAGCUGAGCUGAAUGAAUCCCUCAACAACUUUUUCUCACGCUUUUCAUAUUUGUUUCAUAUCAUAUUAGCAGAGAUAACAAAGCAAAAAAAAACGAAAGUAGUAUUUUAUUGUGAAAGUAUAACGACAUAUCCAUCCACUGUACAUCAUAUCUGUAUCUGCUUCUCUUUCUCCAGUGUCUGAUCUUCAGUAUCUGGUCUUAGUCUUGAUCAAAACAAAUAAUAAUAAAGAAUAUAAUGGAAAUUUCA